GCAACCUGCCCUUGACUCUGGGAUAAGCCUGGGAAACUGGGUCUAAUACCGGAUAGGACCCCUUGCCGCAUGGUGGGGGGUGGAAAGCCUUGUGCGGUCUUGGAUGGGCUCGCGGCCUAUCAGCUUGUUGGUGGGGUGAUGGCCUACCAAGGCGACGACGGGUAGCCGGCCUGAGAGGGUGACCGGCCACACUGGGACUGAGACACGGCCCAGACUCCUACGGGAGGCAGCAGUGGGGAAUAUUGCACAAUGGGCGGAAGCCUGAUGCAGCGACGCCGCGUGGGGGAUGACGGCCUUCGGGUUGUAAACCCCUUUCGGCAGGGAACAAGCCCCUUGGGGUGAGGGUACCUGCGGAAGAAGCGCCGGCUAACUACGUGCCAGCAGCCGCGGUAAUACGUAGGGCGCGAGCGUUAUCCGGAAUUAUUGGGCGUAAAGAGCUCGUAGGCGGUUUGUCGCGUCUGCUGUGAAAGCCCGGGGCUCAACCCCGGGUCUGCAGUGGGUACGGGCAGGCUGGAGUGCAGUAGGGGAGACUGGAAUUCCUGGUGUAGCGGUGAAAUGCGCAGAUAUCAGGAGGAACACCGAUGGCGAAGGCAGGUCUCUGGGCUGUAACUGACGCUGAGGAGCGAAAGCAUGGGGAGCGAACAGGAUUAGAUACCCUGG
rnacentral:rRNA from 1 species